CUACGGAGGGUGCAAGCGUUGUUCGGAAUUACUGGGCGUAAAGCGCGCGUAGGCGGUCUGUUAUGUCAGAUGUGAAAGUCCUCGGCUCAACCGGGGAAGUGCAUUUGAAACUGGCAGACUUGAGUACUGGAGGGGGUGGUGGAAUUCCCGGUGUAGAGGUGAAAUUCGUAGAUAUCGGGAGGAAUACCGGUGGCGAAGGCGACCACCUGGCCAGAUACUGACGCUGAGGUGCGAAAGCGUGGGGAGCAAACAGGAUUAGAAACCCCAGUAGUCC
rnacentral:rRNA from 1 species